rnacentral:rRNA from 1 species
AGUGAACGCUGGCGGUAGCCUAACACAAGCAAGUUGAACCGCCACAUAAUAAGAGCUUGCUCUUACGGGGGGCGAAUGGGGGUCCGGGGGGGAAAUCAUCGGAAUCUUACUUUUCGUGGGGGAUAACGUUGGGAAACUUACGCCAAUAACGCCAUCGAUCCACGGGUGAAAACCAGGGAUUUUCGGGCCUUUCGCGGUUGAAUGAGCCGAAUGCGGAUUAGUCAGUUGGCGGGGGAAAGGGCCCCCAAGGGGACGAUCCGUAGCUGGUCUGAGAGGAUGAUCAGCCACACUGGAACUGAGACACGGACCAGACUCCUACGGGAGGCAGCAGUGGGGAAUAUUGGACAAUGGGCGCAAGGCUGAUACAGAUACCGCGUGGGUGAAGAAGGCCUUCGGGUUGUAAAGCCCUUUUGUUGGGAAAGAAAAGCAGCAGGUUAAUACCCCGCUGUUCUGACGGUACCCAAAGAAUAAGCUCCGGCUAACUUCGUG